UUCGCCGCACUAAUGGCUUCCAUGCAUAUAGCCGGCGUCCUGUUAUUGCAUAUUUUCUUGUUUUUCAUUUCAGAAACGUAUGGGGCGAGAAAUGUGGCUAUCAAUAACAAUACGCAAGAAUGCGACAGAACGAAGAAAGAGUGCAAUUAUCCACCUGAUUGCAACUGUUAUUGGCAAUUAUCGCUCGGAGAGGAAUAUAACAACUACUAUCACUUUAACCCAGAGGAUAAUACCUGUGCAGAAAAAGGGGAGCAAAACAAUUGCAACAGAUUUACUUCACGUGAGGACUGCGAGAGCAACUGCGUACAAAACGUGCCUCCUGCCCGCCUGUGAUCAAGAAUCACCGAAUAUUAUAUGCAGUCACUAAUAAAUGCAGAGCAGAACAAAA
rnacentral:lncRNA from 1 species